GACGAACGCUGGCGGCGUGCUUAACACAUGCAAGUCGAACGGAAAGGCCUCUUUCGGGGGGUACUCGAGUGGCGAACGGGUGAGUAACACGUGAGUAACCUGCCCUUGACUUUGGGAUAACUUCAGGAAACUGGGGCUAAUACCGGAUAGGAGCUCCUGCUGCAUGGUGGGGGUUGGAAAGGUUCGGCGGUUGGGGAUGGACUCGCGGCUUAUCAGCUUGUUGGUGGGGUAGUGGCUUACCAAGGCUUUGACGGGUAGCCGGCCUGAGAGGGUGACCGGCCACAUUGGGACUGAGAUACGGCCCAGACUCCUACGGGAGGCAGCAGUGGGGAAUAUUGCACAAUGGGUGGAAGCCUGAUGCAGCAACGCCGGGUGCGGGAUGACGGCCUUCGGGUUGUAAACCGCUUUCGCUCAUGACGAAGCUUUGUGUGACGGUAGUGGGUAAAGAAGCACCGGCUAACUACGUG
rnacentral:rRNA from 1 species